UACGGAGGGGGCUAGCGUUGUUCGGAAUUACUGGGCGUAAAGCGCACGUAGGCGGCUUUGUAAGUUAGAGGUGAAAGCCCGGAGCUCAACUCCGGAACUGCCUUUAAGACUGCAUCGCUUGAACGUCGGAGAGGUAAGUGGAAUUCCGAGUGUAGAGGUGAAAUUCGUAGAUAUUCGGAAGAACACCAGUGGCGAAGGCGACUUACUGGACGACUGUUGACGCUGAGGCGCGACAGCGUGGGGAGCAAACAGG
rnacentral:rRNA from 1 species